rnacentral:lncRNA from 1 species
ACAAAAGCACCGCAACCAAGCGGCUAACUUGCACUUCCCAUCCGCACCCCCAGCCCCGGGCUGCUGCCCCCCGCCGAGUAAUAAACCUGAGCACAGCUGAUCUUCGCGAGACCGCUUAAAUCUCUCUUAAGAGAGCCAUAAUCCGCCAUCACGUGCAGCAUUAAGGAGCAUUACGAGUAAAACAGAUCCCGAGGUGUCAGUAAGCAGCCGGCUGCGGCGCCGGGCACCGCGCUCGCCGCUACCCGUAGCACGCCCUGCCCAAGCGCUUCCGCGCACCACGAACACGAACCUCAGCACCGCGAUAAAGGCUCUUUCUUCACACCACACGUGCGCGCCGCCGUCGCCUUUCUCCAGCUGAAAGCGGGAUCAGAACUCUGGGCCGGCCCAACCGCCCGAGCCCGGCGCCGUCGGGAAGCGCCCAGCGCGGGCGGCAGGUGCGGGGCGGGAGGGCGGCAGCGCGCAGCGGGAGCGGUCUGACAGCGGGGCUGCGGGCUUCGCCCGGCGGAGGGGGAGGAAACGGGCAAGUUUUCCGCAGGAGCUCAGCGGCGCGCCCCCGGCCCCGACCGCCCCGCACCGCCCGCGCCCCACCCGCCGCCGCUCACCUCGCAGCCCGCGGCUCGGGGCAGCCGCAGCCUCGGGCAUCCGCGCCUCCGGCCGGAGCGGAGCGGGGCGGGGCGGGACGGGGCGGGGGAAGCGGGGCGGCCGCGCGGACCCCGCGGCGGGGGCCGCCGCCUCCUCCUCCUUCCCCUCCUCCUCGGCGGGGCGGGGCGGGAAGCGCCCGCCGCCACAGCGCCCAGCGGGGCGCGCAGAGACUCGAGCUCGGCGGGCGCGCGGGGGGCAACCGCCGGCAGCGGCCCCACGCGGGACGGGACGGGACGGGACGGGACGGGAGCGGGCGAGACGCGCCUCCACUUGGCGCAGCCCCGCCCCUCCCCGCGCACCCCAACCGCCCGGCCCCGCUUCCGCGCGCCUCCUGCGGGCGCUGCUCCGCUCCUUAAAGGGGCCGCGCCCGGCCCGGCGUGGGGUGCGGUGUGAGGGGCCCCUGACCUGAGCCCCCUGUCACGCCGGACGGCCCUCCGUGUCACACCGAGGCCUGUCCCGCUCCCUCGUUGGUCCCUUCCAAAUUAGCCAUGAGUUGUUCUUUGGGCCCCCGGGAAAGAGACCAGGACCCCACCUCAGCGCGCCGGUGGCCCUCCCUGUCACAGCCCCCAGCAGUGCUGAGGUGAGGGGGCAUGGGGACACGUUCACGUUCUCUGAUAUUAAAUAGCCCAGAAGGUAGAAUCACCUUUAUUUUUAACCAUUUUAUUUAGACAGACAUUUUUCUAAGUGUACUACGUGAAGGAUUUCAGUCCCGUUCCUCUUGAUCAGGUCUCAGAAAGCAACUUGAAAUGUGAGCAUGAGAAGAAUUACCAAAGAGACAAUCACUCGGGGGGUGUUGAACCUGAGAGCUUGAGCAGACAGUGUGUGGAACCCAAAGGAACGGCUGAUUCCCUUCUGCUCAGCUCCGUGCGCAGGAGGAGGGAAUCUCAAGGUGCAGAAACGUGCUAAAAGGAGGCGAAUCGUAAAACCUUCAAAUCAGUGCCCAAAAUGCACUCUGCAGGGCACGCUACAAAGUGCCUCCCUGCAGCACUACGGCAGCUUUGUGCCCUAGGCGAGCUCUAAAGGAGCACUGAGGGCCUGAAGCACUGCUGGGCUUUAUAGCUCUGUGCAGGCAGAAGUUUCUUAAUUGCUGGCUAAUGAUGCGGUGUGGGCACUGCCUUUUGCCCAGUGGUUAUGAAUUACUUUGUGCAGAUACACAAAACCCACAUCAAACAGAAAGCACAGGCAGGUCAUUCCAGUCUGACUGAGGGAGAGAAGGAGCGAGGCUAGCACAGAAAGGAGGGCAGAAAUAAACCAUAGCAAGGUUAGAAAUCCUAGAGUGGACAGUGACCUUAAAAGUGUGCUUCCUCCUGCUGCCUUUCAGCACAACUCCUGUCAUCCUGAUUGAAACUAUCAGAGGUGUUCUCUCUCCCUACAGAUAAAAAAGGCGGCAGCUUCUCACUGGAACCACCAAGGAAUUUUGAUCCUGUAAGAAAUGCCCUAUAAAAUGGGCCUGAGAGGGCUGUCUGAGUGGGGGAAAGUGCAAUUGGAUGUUACAUUUGCUUUUGUUGUGAUUGAUGUGACUCUGUCCGAUUUAUUUUCAAAUAUCAGAAUGGGUUCUGGAUGGAACUCUUGCAACCAAAACCUGUGAUCCAUUUGCCAAGAGCUGUUUUUACUCCAGUUGAGAACCGAUUUGUCUGGAUUUUGCCUUAGGCACAGUCCUUACCAUCUUCUGCCAGAGAUUUUUUCCCCCUGCAGACUUAAUCCAGGAUCCAGAUACAUGAUUGUUUAAAAUUUACAUUUAAAAAGGAGUAAAAGAUUGAUUGGAAUUCCAGGGGAGGAGAAGGAGGCAUGAUGAUAUAUUGGAAUCUUUUGUUCCCAGAAGAACCAGGAAAGAAUUAAGAUUAUUAAAGAAACGUAAUUUGGGUCAGACCAAGCAUCUAAAUCCACAUCAGUUAAAAAGAUGAUUUUCCCUACAUUUUUAAUGUGUUUGACACAAGCGUGUUUGAUUUAUGAUGGGAGUCAAAACCAUCUGUAUUUGGGGAACAAGCACAUACUUAUUUAAACAAUGGGGCUGCCUGGGGGGAGGCAUAGGAAAGAAAUGACAUUCUUUUGCAAAGAAUUCGGUGUUUUUCACUCCAUGAAGUAACUGGCACUGGUUUGAAAAGUGCUCUGCAGCAGGAACAGUAGCUCAACCUAUCUUAAAGGAGUCCAGCAGUUUACCUUUAUGCAAUUGGUAUGAUAGUGAACAAGGUUAUCACUGAUAAAGCUCUGCUAUUCCCUACUUUCCUUUCAGUGACCCCUGUGAAGAGAAUUGGUCUCAUUGGGCACCACUGAAAAGAGCCUGGCCCCAUUCAUUGGACUCCCUCCCUUCAGAUAUUAGGGACUUGUUCUAACUGCAGAUGAGGCUGAAGCAAAGGAACCGUUUCCUGAACAUGUCCUCAGCUCUCAUCUUGUGCUGAAAUAGUUUAUUUGAAGUUUUUCAGGGAAGAAGUGUUGAGGGCUAUCAGGAUGACAUCUACAGCGUUAAGUUCUAGCCUGUGCUGGGUGGAGAUUCCAUUCUGUAACCAGAUGCUGUGCUCCAUAUGGAUUGAUAUGAUUAGAAACAGGCUUGGAAAUAACAUUUAACUUUACCAGUCAGCUUCCCAGAGCUCCGUAAGCCAUGUGAAUGGAUGUUGUGCCCGCUGCUUCCUUUAAAUGCAUAACCUUGAAUCCAAGCAUCCCUGCACUUAUGGGACCUUCUUGGCAAGCUGUGGAACUGAUCUCCAAAGCUCAACACAGUCGAUAUCCCAUGACAAAGAUGUGCCUCACUGUAAAGCCCAGUGUAAACUAUGAACGUCAACAAAGGGGCCAGAGGAGAGACAGAAAUAUGUCUGCCCCUGCAAGGUUUCCACAUACGGAGAAAGCAGAAAGUAACAAUCUGCAUUUCAGCUGCUUUUCUAAAUGAAUGUAUUCAACCAUGUGGCGGGCCGGUAGCUUUCUCUUCCUGUGUGAGGCUAUGCCAAACUCGAGCGAGGAAGCCCAGGGUCUUUUAAAAGAAGGUGAGAAAAACUCAAUGGCAAGUGUAGAAUUUUAGAAAAGAGCCAAAGCCUCUGUCCACCCUCAGAAGAGCAGAACGACAGAGCUCUGGCAGCCACUGCAGCCACCACCGAUUUAUUUACGAGUUCCUGGAGUCGAUCCAGUGUAAUUAUGGGCCUGAACUCCAGAUCAGAUUCACUUGACAUUUGAGAAAGUCUGUGGAAAAACAGUAAUAAUAAACUGAUAAUAACCAUCCGUCUCGUAAGCAAUGAGAAAUAAAGGGAAGAGAAAGGGCAGGUGGGGAGAGGGGAAGGCAGCAUAAUCCCCAAAAGAUCUCCUGUUUGUCAGGAGAUACUCUCAGUGUACAACCCUGUGUAUUUUCUAGAAAGAGCUGCAGAGAAUUUUGGAGUAAGUCCUGAAUCAUGUCAAUGCUUUUGCUAUUACUGCACUGGAAAAAAUGAAGAUGGUGGGUGCAGAGGAAGCUGGGAUAAGUUGGGACGGCAGUUUCUCUUGGUGGAGCAGAUAGUUUGUGGCCCACAUGGCAUUUAUCCGAGCGUGCUCAUCACCUAAAUUACGUUACCAUGAAACCGUUGGCUUUGGAAAAAGAUGUUUGAAGAAACUAUGCUUCGGCGUUUGAUUUAUUUUCAAAUUCAUGCACUGAGUAGAAAUAGGCUUUGUUUGUAUUGUACUUUAUUGCAAGUCUCUCAUUCUGCCAGUUCAUAUCAUCGGUAUAACACGGAUGAGUAUUAGGGUUAAAAAUAUUUGUAUUUAAAACAUCUGCAGUCUUAUAUCAGGAUUUAUAUCCCAUUGUUUGAUCCUUCCCAUCUGAAUCACCCCGUAUUGUUUCCUAUUGAAUUGCUGGGAGAUGGCCUCACAAAGCAAACUCUCUGGGAGGUUUCCAGAAAAAAAAUAUUUUUCAAGUAAGAUAAGUUGAUUAAUUCUGCUGAAUGGAAAAGGCUUCUUCUAUGACAAGAAAGAGGCCUGACAUUUAGUUUACAGUUGUCUCAAGUAUUUUAUUUCAGGUGAUGGAAUUGAAUUGCAAGUUAUGAGUGAAUGUUUAAUGAAGCAAGAAGAGUUACGUUUGUGCUACAUCCAAACAGCAUUUGGUGAGUUUUCCUUAUGUCAGGUUUCAGGGCGUAUUAACUACGUAUGCAAAGAUACAACAGAGCCCAUAUAUGUCAAUAGGUUUUCUCAGAGGGAGCAUUCCAGUUAGUUGCUCUCAUCAGACAACAACCAAAUGUCGAGUGCCCUGGCAAUCAACACCGAGCGCCGUAACACUAGACGGUAUCUGAAGGAAAAGGAAUCCUGGGUGGAUGAAUGGGGUUAGUGGCCCAGAACAUGUCAUCUUCAAGUGACCUGCUUCGCCACACUCACGUAACUUCUCAGGAACACCUCCCUUGCAACAUGGGCAGUGUAGCUCCAGUUGUGAAGGAGAAAGGAUAUCGAAAAAGGAACAGCCACAGCUGUAUGCAGAACAAUGAAUGCGCACUUCUUUGAGCUCAGUCUCUGUGAACUGCACACGUUGGUUGUUCAGCCCGUUCUUCCUGAUCUGACAAUGGUAUCAAUUUUUUUCUGCUUAGGAACAUUUCUAGAAUUGUAGUUCUAUGUUAUUUAAAGCUUUUUUUUUUUUUUUUUUAAUUUUACAUUGACUUUUUAUUUAACUUUAAUUGACAUUUACUUAACAGUUCAGGUUACUGUGUUAUUUCUGUAUGCUUUGAUAUUUUCUUCUAUAAAUAUACAUCUCAUAGGUCUUGAGGAGGAGACUUAACAGUCUGGAGAUCUGGUGUAAGGUCAGUAACAAAAUGUAAUACACAGGAAUGCAAUAUAUUUUUUUCCUCUUACCUACCAUGCAUCUGGUUUUCACAGACAGGCCCUUUUCUUGGUCCUGGUAUUUCAUAGGAGCAGAAUGCUGACAGUUGUCUGGGACAGCCUGACCAGAAUAGCAGCUCAGCCUGAGCUGUUGGAUACCUAGAGAUCCCAGACACAUUCACCAUGCACAGCAGAUCAGCCCCACAGAGUAUGCAGUACUUCCACAGAAUUAGAACUUUGGAGCAUAUGUUGCCCAGAUGAACUGCACAACGCGUGGUAAACCCACUUACUGUGUGAAGUCAGACUAACCAUAUAAUUUAUGCACUAUACAUGUGAUGCACUGACAUGCUGGCCUCACAGUUAUCUUCUAUUCUGCAUAUGUAUAUGACUUCCACUGAGUAUUUCCUGGGCAUGAAGUGACUGUCUUUUUAUUUCCUUGCUUGUAUAUAUCGCAUGAUGAGACGCUGCUACUUGGAAAUAACUAAUUUUUGUUUGGGAUCAGCUCAUGAAAUUCUGCAAGGCUUUGUUGUAGAUGGUCGGCUGUGUUUGCAUCCAAACCACUGAACUCAGCGGAAUGUUGGAGCACAGCACUAUUGGAGGCACACUGAAUAAAGCUUUCAACUACUGACAGCAUCUGAAGAACAUCAGGAAAAUGCUGAAAGCCUAGGUAAAUAUCCUUCAGAAACCAGCUGGCAUGGCUGUGUGGGUUUCAGCACAGGGCCUGUCUGCCACAGAAUUUUCUUCAUGUUAUUUGGUGUUACAGUCCUCACAUGGAGCUCAUAGUUAUUAAAAUAAACAGCGCUUUUAGAAUAGAGCGCAGGAUUUUGAACUCCAUUCCUCUCUUGGCUUCCAGUGCCACGUAACAAUCUCAUGGCAGGAGUAAUCAAAAUAAUUCCGUGACGAGAAAAAUCACCCCAUUUUAACAAUCCCAGUUUGCUGUUCAUAACUAUUGCAUGAGUUAUUGGCACAAAUAUGGGCAUUAGGCAGUGUCUAAGAGGAGCUUAAUGUAGGUCUUCCAGAGGUACUGCCUUCCCUGGACAAUAUCAGGCUGCGCCCAUGUGCAUCCUAGAGACCUCAGGAAGAACAGAUUUUCUUUGCACAGUGAUACCAUCAUUUACCCAUUCCGUGAUUGAGGCACAAUGAAGGCUAUCAUCUGUGAUGUUAAUGGCUUUAAUAUACAGGCUCAUGCUAGGCGCAUAAAAGAAACUCCUCAGGCUUCUCGGCCUCAGCUGGCUGUGGAGCCACGGCAUGAGUUUGUAGUCUGGUUCUGCUUUCUGGAAUGACACAUGAAAAAAGGAUGGAGCAAGACAAGUGCCAAUCCGUUCGCACGCAGGGCUCUCCCCCCAUGGAAGACCCUAGAGAUUCCAGCUCCUUGCAUUUGUGUAAUUGGGCUUACCCAGUUGUCUGGGUAGCCAAAUUACACAAAUUCUGUUCCAUGGAAGUAUUGUUCUGCGUGGCUGUGUUUGUGUUUGCAACACUGUGAAGGAGAACUCAAAUUUUAAACAACAACGCAAAAAAAAAUAAAACAUGAAAUCAAGGUGUUUACUUGAAAACUCCUACAAUUAGAACUGCAAAUGUUUCAAUAUGUGCAACAUGUGAUUGCUUAUGUGGGACAGCAUGAGAGUGGACUGCCUAUUGGGAGCCCUUUUGGCUCUCAGUUUUGCAGAAUGUCUUGGCUGCAGAGGAAGGAUUGCUUUGCACUGCUUCGGAGGAACACCAUUUUGAUUCUAAAUAGUAAAUUCUCUGAACAAGUCAAGGCAGCAAGAGUACAUGGGAACUUCAAAUGAAUUUCCUUAAUUGUCUCAUCUGGAAAAGCCAAGAGGGAAGGAAUCAAAGAUUAAAAGUUUAAUCUUGAUAUUUUCACAAUAAAUGCUUUGAUUUUGGAUUUGGCAGUGACACAUCAGUUUUAUAUUUAGUUUAAUUUUGAAGAGUUGCAAAAUGGGUAAAUAAAUCUAUGAAACAGAACAGCUGGAAAAUUCACAACUGUGAAGGUUUUCAAAUUUCAGAAAUCUGUGGCCUAUGUGGCUCCAUAGGCAGCUCUGGGCACUACUCAGAGAUCCAGUAAUAUUCAAAGAUUCCAGUGAUAUUCCAGCAUGAAGCCGUGCCUUGGUGUCUUCAGCUGGCGCUAGAACUGCCUAGCAAGUAAUAUAAUAGCUGGAGGAAAAAAAAAUGGUGUGAUGCAGCAUGGCAACAAAUCUCUCUUCACUAAUACGUUCCGAAGAAUGGCUGCUGAAGCUGGGGAUGACCAAGGGAGCACCGAGUGCCUGGGAGAAUCUCUGCAGAGUAGUUGCAUUGCUGUGAACUCCACCAUGCUGCUGGAAUAGAAAGGAAGAGCCAGAUCAGAAGCAGUCACACAGGAGAAGGUUUCUGAAAGCCCAGUGGGCUUUAUGUCAUGAGAAGGUCACGAGCAGUGAGCUGUCAAACUGUGCAUUGAGGCCUUACUUCUGCUGUAAAGUUAUGGCUGUAUUACUGUACCAGGUAGUGGAAAAUCAGGCUCAACAGUUAUUCUUCAUUAAAUGUAAAAUGUUUGCAUUUUAGCCAAUUAAAAUAUCUCAGUGUGUUCAAAUAAUCUGUAAAUCCGUGAUUCUGGAACCUGCCCAGAACUAAUUUAAAAAGCCAGUACCUGUAACAAAGACGUCACAAGUCAAAGAAUAUUAAAAGUGCCUUACUGUUCUAUAAAAUGAACACAGUUGGGUGAGAUUGCUCAGUCAGCAGGGUUGGUCAUGCUUGAGCAGGCUUAGCUCACUUUAAGUGCACCCUCUUACCUUAGGGUUGGGUCUUCUACCUGUGCUUCUCUGGUUCUCCACUGUAUUCCUAGUGCUGGGCAGGCACUUUGUAAAUAAAUAUUUUCCAAUUUGAAAAUGCCAGUUCAACAGUGGGAACUGGUAUCAAGUUGUGUGUUUCAAAUUGGAAGCAUUCAUUCUUAGUAAAAGAGAAUUUGUUCAAAGCUCAUUGCAAAGCUUUUGGAAUUGAAUGCUUCUUAUUUACAAUGCCUCUUUCAGAAAAGCUCUUUUAAAAAAUAAAAACAUUUUAAUAAAAUGGUAUAUUUCUAUUGACAGGGCAUUAGGGGAAUGUUUUAUUACACGGGAAUUUACAAAUUCUCUGGUCUUUUUUCCUCUUCAAACUUGGACAUAUUUCAAAAUGUCAGAAUUUCCUGUGGAACAGAAUUUUCAGUUCUGACAUACCCUUGUCUGUUGAGCCCUUAGAAUGAAGAACAGUCAUUAACAUUGGUAAUCAGCCAACAAACCCAAACUUGCAGGAGAGACAAAAAAGGUUAAGAGAGAGAGAGAGAGUAGAAAUACCUUAUGCAGACUUUUGUACUCAGCAUGUCCUCAGUAACUCAAGCAUACACACAAUUGUCUCUCUAACUGAACUUAGGUAUGGGAGCUUUCUAGCCCUAAACCUCUGACAUUGUUGUAUAAAGGAGGCAUCAGUGGUAUGGUACAACCCAUUCUUCAAAUCAUUUUUUUCAGCAAGCUGAAAAAUAAGGAAUAAGAUGAUAGGCUUUGUUUAAAUCUGUAGCAAAAAUAAUCACUCAUAAAGUCAUGGAAUGUGGAUGCAAGCAUUUGGGGCCUUUUAAAGCUGCCUUGCUUUGCUCAGCUGUACUACUUCAACUACUCAUUGUUGGCGUACUUGAAUCUUCAUCUACAAACUUGGAAAUCUCAAUUCCCCAUCUGAGUUAAAAGUCUAUAAUUUAUGUCCACAAAGUCUUCUGGUUUUUUUUUCAAGGAAAUUUAUCAAGUGGUUUCUCUGUCUCAAAUCCCCUUUCUGAAGAUUAAAAGAGGGAAUAUCUAAAGAAGAUAUAAUAUCCGGUGGCAUUCAGCUACUCAAUAAGAUUCAUUCUGCCUAAGAAGACGAUGGAUAAUUCACACUAUCGGACCAAUUUUCUUUUAAUUCCUAGAAAUGCUUCCAUCAGAUCAUAUACACCAAUGUAGACAAAGAGAGAGAGAUGUGGAGAGAUUUGUAGACAUCAGUAAAUACAGCCAGUUGACUUUUGAUGAACUGAGGACCAGAGAAAGAAUAGCUAAUGAUUUGGAAGGAGGUUCUGUGGUACUAUUGCUUUUAAAAGAAAUAAUUUAAAAAAGGAACCAAAAAAUGUUCAGGGCUUUGUUUAUUACAAGAAUGUAUAAAUCUGGGUGCACAAAGAACAAAUAUGCUAUCUACAUAAAACACUUCAGUUUCCUGGCUCCUCCUACUUGGAUUUACUGGAUUAUAGCCAAGGAGUCGUAACUGCCAGAUUUUUCUCUAACAGAAAACCCAUCUGAGCGGAAUUUAGUAUUGGCAGAGGAUGUUUGGAGACAUGUGUGAAAAAUUAGGAACCCUUUAAGGGAAGAAGUCACCCAAUUAAAAACGUGCAGAAAAUAAUCCAUCAUACAUUCCCAUCAAAUCCCUUUUGCUUUCAAGUACCAAAAUAAUGACUGGUUGAGACCCGAGUUGAGUCUAGAGCUGGCUGAACUGCUUAUUGUGGAUUGAACAUUGUUUUUGAAGGGAGAAAAUUCUGAAAUGAGCUUUUUAAUGUUUUUAGUCUUGAUUUUAAGUUCUUUCCCUGUGGAAUAUUUUUGCAUUAAUAAUAUUCAGUGUUUUGGCUGUUUGAAUGAGCUUUCUUCAAGCGUUUUAGUGUAUUUGUACGUGCCAUGUGUUUGUACUUUCAAGUAGUGUUUUUCCUGUCUGGAUGACUCUUAAAUUUUAAAUAGGAUCACAAAUCAAUGAAUGAAAACAUCAAACUGUCACAUAUUCAGUUUCAAGAGGAUAAUCACUUUCUUAAAACGUAUGAAACAUUUGUAAUCACAGGCAUUUGGACGAAGCGCUCAGUGAUUUUCUAAGAAGCAGCACAAUAAUAAUACUAAUUAACAGAUCACAUUCUGCAGCUUAUGAGCAACCAUAUUUGCUACUUAAGAGGCUUUUAGUUUUGCUUUGUAAAUACUGACUCAACUCUACCAUAAUGCGUGUGGUACAGGACCAGUAGAAUGUAAAACAGGGAGUUAGUUUUUCUGUUGUGCUGAGAAAACCAAAAAGCUGCAAAGGAAAGAAAGCUCAGUGUUCUUCUUCUUCUUUUUUUUUUUUUCUUCACCCCAAAAUAGAGCUAAGUGUUGGAUUUCACAAUUUUGUAAUUAUUAAUCAAAACACAUUCUUCUUCAAAGUAAUAGCCCCAUUUUUAUAGAAAAAGUCAAAAUAAUUUCCUUAUUUCCAUAGUUAAAUAUUUACUUUCCAACAUUAUGAAACCUUUGAGUGGCAUUCAUUUCAUCAGCUAUAAGAAUCACAGUUUCAAAUGCAUACCCUUGAACAAAAUAAAUUGACCUCCAGACAUGCCUGUUUCUCCACAUUGGCUAAAACUUUGGGGUUAGACAAAAUGCUUAACUUAGUCUUGGCUACAGAUAAGUAUUUUCCCAAAAGAAACUCUCCCCAAGCCUGUCUUUUUUGGAGUAGGUUUGAAAUUGCUUUACAUAUUGAACUCUUAAGUAUGUGAUUGCUUGUCAGCUCAAACUUGAGUUACUCCACAUAUUUGGUUCGGCUUCACAUCUGAAGAAUGCCCCAGAGAGAGAAAUGAUCAUAUAGCCUUUACUUCUCUACCGAAUUUAAGUUCCAUUAUUUUUUCCCAUUUUAUCUCUUUUAUCAUAGCUGCAGGGUAUGUUACAGAGUUAUCCUUUACUCUGCUAAUCAAGAAGAAUGUGUCUAUUAUUCUCUACAUUUAUUUCAUAGAAGAGAUCACUGUUCCUGGGCAUAUGCAAGCAAACUCUUCACAUCACCAGACAUCAUUGGAAGUCUGAACAGCACACUGAAUUUCCAGCUUUGUGGCUUCUAUGAUUGAUUAAAAAGACACUCACAACCUGUGAAGAUUAAAUAACUUUAAAAUGAAUAUGAAAUACAUUUUGUAUCCUUAUAUUGAUGAAACUACUUCUGGAAAUAAAGAGAUUUAAUUUAGUACUUUUUGUUUCUUGUGCAAAUUGUGGUAUCCCUAUCAAUGUAUGUCUUAUUAGACAACUAGUUACAACAUUUUUUCAUAGAAUCAAUGCAAAAUUCAAGGAAUAUCAUAAGAAAGGGAAGUCUAGUCUUCUGCUCAAAACAGGACUAGCUUCAAUAUUAGG